rnacentral:misc_RNA from 1 species
UUCCAUAAAAUUGGAAAUUCCAAGUAAAUAAUUACUUCUAAUUUGUCUUUGUCACCAGGCUUGAAGCAAGCAUUCAUCCAAGCAGAUGCAGAUUUAAGGAUCAUAAUCAUGAAAGGAUUAUGCUGAGAGCUGCUCAAUUGCUUGCACAUCCUGAUUAAUGGAAUAUCCGGAGCGUACAUACAAUUUAUUAUCUCACGAGAAAUGGAGAUUUUUUAUUGCAAGUUUU